GGAUCAUGAUGACUUAAAAAUGGAUCUCGGAAUCUGAGCAAAACGAGUGACCAAACCACUUCUGUGCACUGAGGUCC
rnacentral:snoRNA from 1 species